AUUGAACGCUGGCGGCAUGCUUUACACAUGCAAGUCGGACGAGUGGCGAACGGGUGAGUAAUAUAUUGGAACGUCCCGAGUAAUGGGGGAUAACCAAUCGAAAGAUUGGCUAAUAUCGCCUAUUAUUCGAGCGGCAUAUAUGUGAUUAGCUAGUUGGGGGGGUAAAGGCCUACCAAGGCGACGAUCAGUAGCGGGUCUGAGAGGAUGAUCCGCCACAGGGGGGCUAGGACACGGCCCAGAUUCCUACGGGAGGCAGCGGUGAGGAAUUUUGGAGAAUGGGCGCAAGCCUGUUGCAGCCCUGCCGCGUGUCUGAAGAUGGCCUGCGGGUUGUAGAGGAUGUUUGUUAGGGAAGCGGUACCUAACGAAUAAGCACCGGCUAACUACGUGCCAGCAGCCGCGGUAAUAC
rnacentral:rRNA from 1 species